rnacentral:rRNA from 1 species
CAUUAGUGAAGAUUUGGGCCAGCCAUACGGACGCUACCGCGUCUCUGGCGCCCACCACUAUAUCCACACCAACCCCUGUGCACUGUGAUGGCGAAAGUCAUCGAACCAAAAAAACUCGUAUGGUUGUAUGUACGUGAAACUGUAGGCUUUGCCUACGAACUAUACACAACUUUCGACAACGGAUCUCUUGGUUCUCCCAUCGAUGAAGAACGCAGCGAAACGCGAUAGGUAAUGUGAAUUGCAGAAUUCCGUGAAUCAUCGAGUCUUUGAACGCACCUUGCGCUCCAUGGUAUUCCGUGGAGCAUGCCUGUUUGAGUGCCGCGAAUUCUCCCUCCCCAUACGGUGGCCGAAAGGCCGGAGUAUGGCGGACGGGGUUGGAUGGGUGCCGCUGCCUGGGAAACCAGGCUCGCCCGAAAUGCAUAAGCGCCAGGACCCUCGCUACUGCCCUCUAGGGAAGGGCGGCUGAGCGACCGCUGAGCAUGGCAUGAUACGUCAUUUGCUGUGUGUGGGCGGCCGGUUGGAGAGGUGUCUGCUUUAUACAGCCCUUUUUAUUCUGGUCUCAAAUCAGGUAGGAUCACCCGCUGAACUUAAGCAUAUCAAUAAGCGGAGGAAAAGAAACUAACAAGGAUUCCCCUAGUAACGGCGAGCGAAGCGGGAAGAGCUCAAAUUUGAAAGCUGGCACCUCCGGUGUCCGCGUUGUAAUCUCGAGACGUGUUUUCCGUGCGGCUCUAUGGACAAGUCCCUUGGAACAGGGCAUCGUAGAGGGUGAAAAUCCCGUACUUGCCAUGGAUGUACCGUGCUUUGUGAUACACGCUCUAAGAGUCGAGUUGUUUGGGAUUGCAGCUCAAAAUGGGUGGUAGACUCCAUCUAGAGCUAAAUAUCGGGGAGAGACCGAUAGCGAACAAGUACCGUGAGGGAAAGAUGAAAAGCACUUUGGAAAGAGAGUUAAAAGUACGUGAAAUUGUCGAAAGGGAAGCGCUUGAAGUCAGCCAUGCUGCGCGGACUCAGCCCGGCUGGAUGCCUGGUGUAUUUCUCAGUAGCAAGUCAGCAUGGAUUUGAGUCGCCGGAGAAGGGUAGGAGGA